rnacentral:rRNA from 1 species
UACGUAGGGUGCAAGCGUUACUCGGAAUUACUGGGCGUAAAGCGUGCGCAGGCGGUUUUGUAAGUCAGAUGUGAAAUCCCCGGGCUUAACCUGGGAACUGCGUUUGAAACUACAAGGCUAGAGUGUGGCAGAGGGGGGUGGAAUUCCACGUGUAGCAGUGAAAUGCGUAGAGAUGUGGAGGAACACCGAUGGCGAAGGCAGCCCCCUGGGUUAACACUGACGCUCAGGCACGAAAGCUAGGGUAGCAAACGGG